GGGAAAAUAUACAAAAAUGAAAUCAAAAUUCUAACUUUAUUAGUAAAAAAAUACAGAAAGAGUUCCAUAAGUGAAGAAUUAGCAUAUAAGACCAAACUGAACUCCUUUAUGCGAUGGGAGAAAAAUAAAAAAAUGCAAUAGCCAAAUCACAUAAAGCUUUUCAACGAUCUCAUAUAUGAAGUUCUAUCAUCCAGUGGAUACAAUCAGAGAAAUAUAUGCCCCUUUCCCAACAUGAAAAACAUCAUCAAUUCUUCCAAGUCAGUUUUUCAUAUCAAUAACUGGAAACUAUCACCCAACAUUACCCAAUUCAAAUCCAUUUUUCCCUCUAAAGUGAUGAACAUAUCAGAAGCCAAACACUUGACCCCUCUGAUAUUUCAAACAGUGCACCAAUUCUCUGAAAAUGUGAUUAAGGAAAAUCACAACCAGAAUAUUUUCAAAAGUUGAAGUAAUAUCUCAUGGAUUUGAGUCGAGAACUAUCCAGAUAAUUUAAUUACCUCAGAAAGACACUCUCUAACGAUUGAUAACCAUAAAGGGAGCCGCUUGAGAAGUUUAACGAUAAAAAAAUAUCUGUUGACAGAUUAAUCCUACAAUUUUUAAAAGUACUAGGUUUCUUUUCCCUGCUUUCAAAUCAGUAAUCCAUUAAAAAUUAUAUCCAUAGAGAACUAUAAUUUUCAGACCUAGUUUCACUAUGCCUUCCAGGAUUUACAAAAACAGGCAUACCCUACAAGGCUGCUGGUUUUUCUCUUUCACAUUUCAAUGGAAAGUAUUUCAGCUCAAUCCCAACUAUGGCUCCUUUUUAUUAUGUUCACUCAUGCUUUUCAUUGCUUUCACAUUUCGAAGUUCAGCUGCACUUUCUUUUUUUUUCUUCUGGACCACGGGACAUGCACAACUUUCUAUCAGGUGAGGAUAUAAAGUCUCCCCUAAAAUUGAAUCUCAAAAGAUUUACCAUUUCAUUCAAGGAAAAUAGGAAACUUGAAUUCACAAACGCACGUUUUUAGUUUUACAUUUUUGAUCAAUGAAGAAUACACCUCGUCAUUACUAGAACUUAAUUAUACCAAAUAGAAAUUAUUUGAAACAUAAUGCUACAUGAGGAACUUUUUA
rnacentral:lncRNA from 1 species